rnacentral:rRNA from 1 species
AUUGCACGCUGGCGACAGGCCUAACACAUGCAAGUCGAACGAGUGGCGGACGGGUGAGUAAUGUCUGGGAAACUGCCUGAUGGAGGGGGAUAACUACUGGAAACGGUAGCUAAUACCGCAUACCAUCGGAUGUGCCCAGCUGGGAUUAGCUUGUUGGUGGGGUAACGGCUCACCAAGGCGACGAUCCCUAGCUGGUCUGAGAGGAUGACCAGCCACUCUGGAACUGAGACGCAGUCCAGACUCCUACGCUAGGCAGCAGUGGGGAAGAUUGCACAAUGGGCGCAAGCCUGAUGCAGCCAUGCCGCGUGUAUGGAGAAGUCCAUCGGGUUGUGAAGUACUUUCAGCGUGGAGGCGUUACCCGCAGAAGAAGCACCGGCUAACUCCGUGCCAGCAGCCGCGGUAAUAC